GACGAACGCUGGCGGCGUGCUUAACACAUGCAAGUCGAACGGAAAGGCCCCUUUGGGGGUCCUCGAGUGGCGAACGGGUGAGUAACACGUGAGUAACCUGCCCUUGACUUCGGGAUAACUUCAGGAAACUGGGGCUAAUACCGGAUAGGAAUCCUUGCUGCAUGGUGGGGGUUGGAAAGCUUCGGCGGUUUUGGAUGGACUCACGGCUUAUCAGCUUGUUGGUGGGGUAGUGGCUUACCAAGGCUUUGACGGGUAGCCGGCCUGAGAGGGCGACCGGCCACAUUGGGACUGAGAUACGGCCCAGACUCCUACGGGAGGCAGCAGUGGGGAAUAUUGCACAAUGGGCGGAAGCCUGAUGCAGCAACGCCGCGUGCGGGAUGACGGCCUUCGGGUUGUAAACCGCUUUCAGCAGGGGCGAAGCUUGUGGUGACGGUACCUGCAGAAGAAGCACCGGCUAACUACGUG
rnacentral:rRNA from 1 species